GGCUAGGCUCAGAUCAGUCCCUGAGUGACCCUGAGCUCCCGAACACAUUUUAGAGGAAUAGUUACACUGACGUUGUGUAGCAUCACGUGACCGUAGACAUGGGGUUCAAUGAUGGACGGUUGGACAGGGGAGGGUCUGUAAUAACAUCUAUUAUUACACACCUGAUUUUAUUUUCUUGAUUUACCUUCAAGGCAAGAGUCACCUCCUUGUUUUCAUCCUCGUUGGUGUCGCUGUUGCUGCUGUUGUUGUUGCUGCUGCUGUUGUUGGAGUCUUUGUGUACCAGAAGAGGAACGAUUCAGACAAGCGUCACAAACCAGUUGGUUCUUCUGACAGCUGCUCUGGGAACACUGAGGGGCAGAAUCCGGCUCCUGAGGCCCAACCUCUGACCACAGCCGUGACUGACCUCUAGUGGAGGAGAUGAGAGCAGAGGAAGACGGGGCAGGAUGGGCCUACAACUGGUGUACAGUAUUAUGUAUAAAUGUUGCUGUUUGAGAUAAUGCUUUGUAAUCUACAGUUGGUUUAUAGAGUAACUAAUGUACUUUUACUGAAAUUGACUGAUGUUAUUAUGCAGUUUUUGCUGUUGCGGGUGGAUAAUUCUCUAUGUAAUCUACCGUUGGUUUAUAAAGUAACCAAUGUACACUUACAAAUACAUUACAGAUGUAUUAAGCAGCUGUUUUAGAUGGAGAAUGAGAUUGCAACCAAACAAUUAAAUAAAUAAAGAAUUUUUGUACGGUGAA